rnacentral:rRNA from 1 species
AGCGUUGUCCGGAAUUAUUGGGCGUAAAGGGCGUCUAGGCGGUUUUUUAAGUCUGGGAGUGAAAGGCGACGGCUCAACCGUCGACGCGCUUCGGAAACUGGGGGACUUGAGGGCAGGAGAGGCGAGCGGAAUUCCCGGUGUAGCGGUGAAAUGCGUAGAGAUCGGGAAGAACACCAGUGGCGAAGGCGGCUCGCUGGACUGGCCCUGACGCUGACGCGCGAAAGCGUGGGGAGCGAACGGGAUUAGAUACCCCGGUAGUCCACGCCGUAAACGAUGGGCACUAGGUGUGGGAGGUAUCGACCCCUCCCGUGCCGGAGUUAACACACUAAGUGCCCCGCCUGGGGAGUACGGCCGCAAGGUUGAAACUCAAAGGAAUUGACGGGGGCCCGCACAAGCAGUGGAGCAUGUGGUUUAAUUCGACGCAACGCGAAGAACCUUACCCGGGCUUGACAUCCCCGGAACACCCGAGAGAUCGGGUGGCUCUACGGAGCCGGGAGACAGGUGCUGCAUGGUUGUCGUCAGCUCGUGUCGUGAGAUGUUGGGUUAAGUCCCGCAACGAGCGCAACCCUUGUCCCGUGUUACCAGCGUAAAGGCGGGGACUCACGGGAGACUGCCGGUGACAAACCGNGAGGAAGGUGGGGAUGACGUCAAAUCAUCAUGGCCCUUAUGUCCGGGGCUACACACGUGCUACAAUGGCCGGCACAGCGGGAUGCGAAGGGGCGACCCGGAGCGAAUCCCUGAAAGCCGGUCCCAGUUCGGAUCGCAGGCUGAAAC